GGGGAUGUAGCUCAGUGGUAGAACAUAUGCUUCACAUGUAUGAGGCCCCAGGUUCGAUCCCUGCCAUCUCCA